rnacentral:rRNA from 1 species
AUUGAACGCUGGCGGCAUGCUUUACACAUGCAAGUCGGACGAGUGGCGAACGGGUGAGUAACGCAUAGGAACGUACCGAGUAAUGGGGGAUAACUGUCCGAAAGGACAGCUAAUACCGCAUAUUAUUCGAGCGACCGAUGUCUGAUUAGCUGGUGGGCGGGGUAAAGGCACACCAAGGCGACGAUCAGUAGCGGGUCUGAGAGGAUGAUCCGCAACACUGGGACUGAUAAACGGCCCAGACUCCUACGGGAGGCAGCAGUUGGGAAUAUUGCACGAUGGGCGCAACCCUGAUGCAGCCAUGCCGCGUGUGUGAAGAAGGCUUUCGGGUUGUAAAGCACUUUCAGCGGGGAGGCGUUACCCGCAGAAGAAGCACCGGCUAACUCCGUGCCAGCAGCCGCGGUAAUAC